AGCAGAUCACACUAAACGAAUACUACAUGCAAAUGCAUGUAGGUAUGUGUGUAUGAGUGAUUAUGUCAGAAAAUAGAGCUUAGUAUAAAGAAGACCUGCAACUAAGUCUUACGUGCUACAUGGCAGCAAAUUUUUGGGAUCAAAAGUAUAACGAGAGCUUAUACAUACAUACAGUAAUUCAGAAAACUGCAUUUUCAAUUUGGACUUUGUGAUUAAGUACACACAGCUAAUUUUCAUAUUUGCCGAUCAAUUACGGGACCUUUAUUACCCUCUAGCUCGAUUGCUUUGACUUCAUAUUUAUUUCUACACUUUAAAUUUAAUAACCAUAUUUUACACUAUUUUCAUUCUACUUCUCUGCUUCAGAAUUCAAAAUUUUCGCAUAUUUAAGCACAUCGUGUUACCAAAACGGAAAAUUCAUUUUCAUUCUCUUCAUCUUCAUUCAGUCGCGAGGCAAUAUUUGAAGAAUCCAUUGUGGUAAGAUCUUACGACGGACGUGCGUCGUUGUGAUUUGAUUUAAAUUUGAAUUUAAUCGCAGGACAGAGUGGGAACGAGCACUAACAAAAGGCACACAUACAUUCAUAGAAUGGUUUCCCUGCUGCUUAGUAUUCAAGCCUCGGCACAUAAAAUGCACUCGCACAAUAAAGUAGUCAAUACUUGAGGGGAUACAUUCAUUUUAAUGCAAUGCACUAGGUCCCGCUUUCAAUUUUUCUGCAGUAAAUAUGAAAAACAGCUCUGUUACAUGUCACCAUGGCGUAUGAGUAACAAGUAGAUCACGAAAAUCGUAUAAAAUUGGAUUUAUUUCUUUUUUUCAUUCACUGUAAGGCACACUAUUUUUAACUAAAAACUCAAUUUAAAUAAAAUGUAUUAUUAAAGAGCGUAAUAGAAUUAGGUCAGACUGCAAUUGCGAACUUAAACGGCAACGUUUACAUAUUUUUAUGAUAUUAACCUAAGGCUGGCGUGGCUGUUAAUUAUCCACUGAUUUAUGAUUUAUUAAAAGCUUCUGCAAAUAACUUUGACAGCCAGGUAUGUUCACAUUAUGCCUGAAACGUAUCCCAGAGUGUGUUUUUUUGUCGUACACCGGAGUUUUAUUAAGCCGAAUUUGGAAUGCCAUUUCCUAGUUGAGUAAAUAGGAGUAUAUCGACGACCUACACAAGCUACAAAUUGGCAACAGCAUAUGCAAACAUAUCACAGAGCGCAGUUUAGUUGAGAGUUGAAGGCAAACGCUGUUCAAUUAUUAAUGCAAUCAACUGAGGAACUGUGCCACUUGCAAAGCCCAGUUGAGGAGGCGUUCGCAAAUAAAUUCGACUGAGCAUAAAACAUUAUACAUAUAUAGUAUGUAAAAUGAUGUGAAAAAGCUAGAAAUUAAAAGUAACUCUUCGUGCAUGAAGUCCAAAUGUUAUAAAAUUCAGAUCUCAAAAUCCUAAAGAACAUUAUUUACUAAAACUUACUUACUCGUCAAACUAUUUUUUUGUUAAUAUAAUUUUUGGUCUUACCUUUUUUCAUAUUUUUGAAAUGUUCUGUUUGAAUUUAUUGUGGUUAUAAUUUUGUGUGUUUCUAGCAAUGGACACAAUUAUAACGAUUAUAAUAAUAACUGUCUUCUCUCUACAAAAUUACCAUGAACAGGCGUUGCACCAAAUCUUAACUAACGGUCUUCCAUGCGUCGCUUUAAUUUAUAUUAUUGACGCAUUAUUUAAUGCUGUCUAUCAACAUCACACUCAAUGUGCCACUAAUAACACUUUCAGAAAAUAUUCAACGCCCACAAGCGGCUGUUGCCUACAGGCAUAUGUAUAUGUAUAAGCAAAUAAGUGUGCACUUACUAUAAAUUAAAAAAAAAACAAUGACGCUUGACACAACGCUAAUUUAUAUAUAAGAGAAUGUACAGUGCCCCAUUAAACUUGAAAGUGUUCAUUGCGCCUAAAACUGCGCUUUUCCUCACAUAAUCGCUUACACUCAUGUUUAAUACAUUUUUGGGAAGGCCACCGCUUAGGUGGCAUAAUGUUUCAAUCAAGCGUUCACCAUGUUAUCACCCAAAUUUGUUGAAUAAAUGCUCGAAACGACCGAAAGUGUGGCGCUUAUAUGAAUUUGCGUAUGCGUGUCGCCCGCAACGUAACUGACGUUUAACGCAUUAUCAUACAAAAUUCAUGUUUAAUUGCGGUUCGCAUAAUUAAAAAUGGCAUAGAACCUUCUUAGUGCCCUUUACGUCCAAUCCAGCCAUAAGUGUAGGCUGUUUUCAUUGUGCAACAUUAGAGAGCAGUUCUAGGCUGUGGUGCUCCCACUGACGGCAUUCGAACAAUAAGCACACGCAAUGGUAAUAACAACCGCAGCAAACACAAUAACCCAAAUUGAAUUCAGUUUAGUGUUGGCAUUGAUUGGUUUUAAUAUUCACAAACUGCGGAACAAAGAAAGCAAGCAAAGUUGGCUUCAACUCGAUUUCAUGGAAACUUUACUAUAUAUGAGUACAUAGUAGUGCUAAGCACGGGGAUAUUAGCCCGAACAUGUGGCAGUGUUGGUUCGCUACACUUAACAGUGUCUUUCCACAACAACAACACGUAGAUUUUUCGAACUAGAGGCCUAAUGGCAAAAGCACUAGAACAAACGUUAAUACGAGUAUACUUAGCAUAAAGUUUAGUAAACUACCAUAAAUGUUAGUAGAUAUUCCGAAUGAUUAUACAUAUACCCAAAAGUUGGCGUAUAACACAGUUCAUGAUGAUGCCUUCAACUAAUUUUUUAGCAAAAGCACUUAAGAAUUUUUAUUUUUCUUCUGUUUUCUUUUUGUUUUCUUGUUUGAAAGAAGUCGUUUUCUAUUUCCGAAAUGUUCCGCACAUUUUUGAGAGUGACAAAUAACAGUGAAGAAUAUCCUCCUUUUAUAGUCACGACCUAAUUUGCUAUUCUGCUUUAAAUUACGUUUCCGACAAAAGUUUGACACUUAGAAUUAAUUUCCGAACUUUUUAGUGCUCAUAACCGCAAUGGGUCAGUAAAUUUUGAAACUUUUGCCGCACGACAAUUUAUAUUCCUUUUUCAUAAAUUCUAUGUUUAAUGACUGCAAUUUAUGCACUAAAUUUCAAACGCAACAGCUUUCAAAAAAUAAAUAAUUAUAAUUUUGCG